AGUCGCGCAGCCGGAAGUGUGAGCUUUGGUAGUUAGGGUGUUACAGAGGGAGACUGCGUCAAUUCACCGCGAAGCCGCCACUGCCCUCGCAUCUGUCGUCGUCUUCGCGAGGUUUAUGUCGCCGUCGUCACCCUCACCGUGAAGCCGUCGCCGCCGCUGUUCUGUCAAGAGAGAAGGACGCGCGUGAGAGGAGACAGAACUGCGUAGAAGCUCAGCCGCGAGUGAGGAGAUGCGCACCUGAUCCUUCGCCGAACUGCGUCGCCAUCCGUGAAGCUGUCUCCGUUGCCGCUGCCGGAGGUUGCCGUCGGAGCUGCUGCUCCACUUCCGUCAUUCUUUUUUUCACAGUUGUUGCUAAACCACCGGAGCUUCUGACAACUGUCAGAGUUGCUGCCGGAUAAGUUCGGAGUGGCUACUGUGUCGUUCUUUUAUUCCAGUAAGUGUCUCUAACUCGGAAUCCUCGCCAUUAGUUUUCCGUUAUGUGUUUUAAUGUUUCUGUGAUAUUAAUGUUUUUAGGAAUUAGAAACCGAGUUUGCAUGUCGCGAUUAAGGUUGUUUCUGCUAUUGAGAAAACAAGUGGAGCUGAGGUUUCAGUUGUCGUUGACUUCAGGCUGAGAGAAAAGGUUUCCUUGACUCGUUUGGUUUUUGGGUUUCGCGUUAUCGAGGUAGGGGCUUUUUAGAAAACUAAACUUUAUAAUUUAGAAUUGUUAUAUAUGGAUAUUGAUGUGAGAAAUGUACCUUUAGUGAUUAUAUAAGUCUUAUGUAUUGUAUGGUUGUCUUGGAUGGAUAUGAAUGUUUGUUUGACUGGAUUAUUGUUUGGUUUUGUUAAACAGACGAUUCUUGAAGUGUUUCUUUAAAGUUUU